UGCUGUGCUCAUGCCAUGGCAUUAUUCUCGCAAUGAAGCAAUGGAGAGGCGUGUCCUUUUUGGCCAUUUCUGACCCUGUGAGCUCAUGCAAAAGAGCAAGACAAGAUCGGGGCGAGAAAAUGUGUGCUUGCCACUACCUUUAUUGUUGAUGUGCAUAUGUUCCUUCCCUCCUGAGUCCUGACUCCUGUCAUGGUCAUUGCGUAAGUGCAUCCUGUUGUUUAAUAAUACCCUUUGCUCCUCACUGUUGUAUGAUGCCUACCUGAUUGUGACGGUGAUAUUUCGGUUAGGUGUCACUUGGAGUGGGGACUUAGGCCCUGUUUGUUUCCUCCUAGGAUUAUAUAAUCCAGCUUAUUAAUUACAUAAGCACCUUAUGAUCUACUUAUGGAUUAUCAUAACCUAUGCAUAUAGAUUAUAUAAUCCAUCUAAUAAUCUAUGUUGUUUGUUUGCCUUUUAACUUAUUUAAGCUGUAUUAUAUAAUCUAGAGGGUAAACAAACAGGGCCUUAAUCACUAGAGACAUCGACAAGCAGUCUCUUUGAAAAUUAUUCAGUUUCUGGGUGGAAUUCUGAUGUUGGACAUUUAGAACACAAGGAGAUAUCAGUUUUAGUGCACCCGCAUUCCGAGACAGUGACAAAGGGGUUUGUUUGAAAAUUAUUCAGGUUUUGGGUGGGAUUCUGGUGUGUGUUGAGGGAUUAAAGAGGAUAUCAUUUCUUUCUGCAACUUAGGCCCUGUUUGGAAACACCUAGUUUUUAAGAAACUGUUUUAUAGAAAUUGAGGUCGUUCCAAACAUACUAGUUUAUGACUCAGUUUAUAGAAAUUAGAUGCUCAGUUUUUUUAAAAAACCAAUAAGCUGGCCUCUUCUAGCUUAAAGAUAAAAACUGGUUUCUUAAAAACUGGGUUGCUUCCAAACAGGGCCUUAGUCACAUUCUUCUGUUUAUAAGACAUGCUUUGCAGCUACAGUUUAGUUCAUCCUGUUUGCAGCAUUUACGGUUGUUCAUUUGAUCUUGCACUGGCUGUACUGCUCAAUUAAUUAGCUUGUAAAUGAGAAACUGCCAUGGUUGGUUUGCGGUUUCGUUGAAAAAUUAUUCAGGUUUUUGGAUGCUAUUCCGUUCUAGAGCUUCCAGAAUCCAAGGAGAUAUUGUUUUCCCUGCAUCCCUGUUUUGGACUAUAAGACGUACUUUGUGGUUGUCGUUUAGUUAAUCGCUUUUCUAUUCGGUAUUCAUUUCAUCGCGUUCCAGCUGUAACGCUUAACUAGAUUGCACUAACUGAGAAACUGAUGUAGUUGUUUGCUGUUUGUUUUCAAAUUAUUCAGUUUUUGAGUGGUAUUCUGAUGUCAAACUUCCAGAAUUCAAGGAUAUAUUCUUCGCAUUCCUUUUGUCACAUUUUUUCUGUUUUUAUGACAUGCUUUGCGGUUGUUGUUUAGUUCAUUCUGUGUGUAGCAUUUAACACCAUUCAUUCCGUUGUGCACAGACUGUAACACAAAAGAAAAAGAUUGUAACUGAGAAACUGCCAUAGCGGUUUCUGCUGGCACAUUG
rnacentral:lncRNA from 1 species